GAGCCCCGCCCCGCCCCUGCGCCGGCUCCUCAUUGGGCGAGCGGACCACGGGGUUGCCCCGGCCGCCCGAGAGGGGCGCUGACGGACGGAGGAGAAGGGGAGAGGAGACCCGGACGCCGCGGACGCGGAGCGAGGAGGAGGCGGGCGGAGGGGGACGGAAAUGGGGGCGGAAAGAGGCGGUGGGAGAAGAGGGGGUGGAGCCGGGGGAGGAGGGAACGUGUGGGAACUUGGGGACUGGGCGAGGUGAGGGCUUGGGCGAGCGUGAGCCCCAGGUGCUGCGCUCUCUGCUUGGGCUCGGAACCCGGCAGGACCAGGACCACAGUCUCCGGGGUCAUCAGUUCCCUCCCUACCCAAAAAGGAAUCGCCACCGGGUCGGAGGCUGAGGCUUAGAAGCUGAUGUCUUCUCUCCAAGGUGGAGUUACAUUUACCAAGCUCAUGGGACUGAUGUGGAAAAUCGGAACGUCAGUGUAUUCACUGAUAACAAGAAAUAUAAUUGCUGAGAAGACUGGAAUACUCUCAUCAGUGUGACCAGCACAUUCUUUCCCGGAGGCAGAUCUAAGUGAAAAGCCAAAUUAUACAAAGAAGGUGGCUUGGUGAGCAUUUGAUCAUUGAGUUCUAUUGAUGAAGAGCCUAAUGCAGGUCUCCAUUGAAUGUCAAUGUCAAACAUUGUACUGGACACUAGGUGGAGGAUGGUGAAUAAGAGAGAUGGGUCUCCGUGCUCACAGGUUCUAAGGCACUGGGGGAAGACAGGCCCUGAACAGGUAAUGAGACUUCUAGGUUAGAAAAACUACACCCCUUACCCUCUGCUUCCUCCCCGAACCUACGAAAAUAACAGUACAGGAAUUGUUCUGAAAAGGCAACACGCAAAGACAGAGGUCUGCAAACCAUGGUCCACAGGCCAAAUCUAGCCCGCUGCCUGUUUCGGGACAGCCUGUCCUAAGAAUAGUCCUAUAUUUGCAAAUGGCUGGAAAAAGAUCAAAACCAGAAUAACAUUCUGUGACACGUGAAAAUGAUAUGAAAGUCAGAUUUCAGAGUGCAUAAAUAAAGUUUGGUGGGAACGCGGCCAUGCAUUCCAAUGCAGGUCCCAUGUAUUGUCUACGGCUGUUCUCGCGCUACCAUGACAUAGUUAAGUAGGUGCGAAGGAGGCCAUAUGGCGUGCAGAGCCAAAAAUAUUUACUAUCCGGCCCUUUACAGGAAAAAAAAAAAUCCCAACCCCUGCUCUAGAACGGCACCGUCCAAUGGAACUUUCUGCAGUGACGGACGGGUCGUGUACCGCCAUCCGAUAUGGUAGCUGGCCACUAGCUACAUGUGGCUACUGAGCCCUUGAUGUGUGGCUGGUGCAACUAAGGACCUGAACGUUUAUUUUAUUUAUUUUAAUGAAUUUAAAUGUGAGUAGCUGGCAGAAGCUGCUGUGUUGGAUGGCACAGCGGUCGACUAUGACAAGAGGGCAUCUGGGCUGGGAAACACCACGUGUCGUGGAAGAUGGGACAUCUGCCCGAAAGCAGGGGGAUUAAGUGAAAGUUUACAUAUGGAAGCCUGGCAUGCCCCACCCAAUCUUCUUACAGGCUGCUUUCCUGACCUAGAUUCCAGAAUGCUGGCAGGGAGAAUUACAUUCUCCUAAAAAGAAACGGGGGGAACCAUCUCUGGGGACUUUGACCAGCUCGGGAGGAAGGACCUAAACAUGCGCUGGGAGCUUCCUAAUCGUCAUACCAAAUUGGCAGUGAAGAGACCCCCUGCCAACCACAUAGCAUUCAGUAACCUUUAGCCUAGGUCCCACCCUCCGCCAUGAGCAGGCGGCCAAGGGCCAUCGUACAUUCGAGGAACAAUGUAAACGCGAAAGAGACCAAACAGAGGGACAGAUCUAAGCGAAGCUCUCUGGGCGCACAUAUUUUGUUAAAUUUGGAGGUCUAUAAUGCUGAAAGAGAAAAAUGGGCUUUCUUUUCACUAAGUUCAAGGCAGCAUUUUCUUCGCUUACAAACAUAAGCAACAAACUGUAGUAGUGUUAGCAGUUUCUGUGACUUCAUCAUCAAUAGAAACCAGGUAGUUUCCUACCAUGAUGGUAUUGUUGGAGUCAUUUCAUAACAUCUUUUAUGCUCGUCAUGACUUUGAAAUGAUGGUAGUCAUUAGACACCCUGCUAAAUCUUCUAAUAUAGAAGCACAUAUGUCACUAUAUGACAGAUUUGUUUUUUAAAUAUUUUGAUAACUGUAUGUUGAUAUAAAUGAUUUCCUUUGUAA